rnacentral:rRNA from 1 species
ACCUCUUGGCAUUACCAGUAUCAGGAGGCACUGCCUGCCCAGUGACAUAUGUUCAACGGCCGCGGUAUCCUGACCGUGCAAAGGUAGCAUAAUCAUUUGUUCCUUAAUUAGGGACUUGUAUGAAUGGCUUAACGAGGGUUUAACUGUCUCUUACUCUCAAUCAGUGAAAUUGACCUUUCCGUGAAGAGGCGGAAAUAACCUAAUAAGACGAGAAGACCCUAUGGAGCUUUUAAUUUAUUAAUCUUAGUUAACCUACUUCAAUCCCCUGGGAGAUAAAAACAUACUAACAGAUUAUAAAUUUUGGUUGGGGUGACCUCGGAGAAUAAAACAACCUCCGAAUGAUCUUAAUCUAGACUAAACCAGUCUAAAUCUUAAUUCAUCAAUUGACCCAAAACUAUUGAUCAACGGAACAAGUUACCCUAGGGAUAACAGCGCAAUCCUACUCAAGAGUCCAUAUCGACAGUAGGGUUUACGACCUCGAUGUUGGAUCAGGACAUCCAAAUGGUGUAACCGCUAUUAAUGGUUCGUUUGUUCAACGAUUAAAGUC